AUAUUAUUCUUUACCCCCUUUCUCAUUUUAAUCCCAAACUUAAAGAGUGGGCUGCUUAAUAAAUUGGUAGAAAUAAAUUUCUCAACUUUGAAAAUAAAUUGGACUUCUCAUGUCCUCUUCCUAUCACAAUCCGAAGGCAAUAAAGAGCAUAGCAGAAUGGGUACUUGCAAACAUAUUAGUUUGAAGACACCAUUUAGACAUGGGCUUCUUAAAUUCUCCAACAUGUUUUAACUCUCCUACCUGCUUCCAUUAAUAUCCCUGCCAUACUCAACAUAUAAAGAUUAAUUGGCAAAAGUGCAUGAUAGGUAAGGUCACUUGCUUUGUCAUCGGUCUCAGACGUUCAUUUUUUUUUCUUUUACUUGCAAUAUCAAAUGCCUUCACUUGGCCUGCAUUUUCAUGCUCCUGGAACGGUUAAUAUGGUACUUUAUGUGAUCUAAUUGCUCACGGGUAUUUAGAUGUGUAUGCUAUUAAAAUAUGUUUUAUGUGAUAUUAAUUUUUGAGGCUUGAGAUGUCUAAAGAAAUUAUUACCGAAUUGUCAUAUUCUAUGUGCAAAAUUUUUAAAUAAUUUGCCCGCACAUUAAAUAACAAAUCUUAAUGCGACGCACUGGAAUGUGAUUGAGUUUCAUAGUUAUUGACAUUAAUUAAACUGAAUAUGUUUUAAUAUGACAUGCCUGAGAGUCAAUUGAUGUGAAUAUUCGCAUCUAUUAUUUUCUUGGAUUUCCUUGUUGCCUUGAAACUAUUUUCAGGAUAUGGAGCAUGGUUCAACAGGAUAUAGUUUUCUUAUUUAUAAAAGACGAGCCCAUAAGUCCUCGUACCUUGGGGCUAGCUCAUGACUUUGUCAUCUUGGACGGUGAGCCUUAGCUCGUGUUUUCCUCACUAUUGAAGUGGAAUGGGCUGACCAACUCAAAAUUGAGCCCUGAUGGAGCCUCCAUAUAGAUAUAGAAUUGGAAAAAAAAUGAGUCCAUACGGCUACAGCUAGAAAAAGAAUCCAAUUCAAAAUAGAAUCAAUAUGAUAAGAAGGAAAAUGCAUAAUGCGAAAACAAGAUGGAACGUGGGGGAGGAUCCGAACAAUUUCUUUUUUCUUUCAUUUUGGGAGAGCACUUUUUUUAGCCUUAGUCAUGGUUUUCUUAUUAUUGAAGGCGAGCCUUAACUCGUGUUUUUCUCAUUAUUGAAGUCGAGCCCUAGC
rnacentral:lncRNA from 1 species